rnacentral:sRNA from 1 species
AGUUGAUGCACAUGGCGGUCUCCUCCCAGUUCCGCCGCACCAGCUGUUCCCCUCUGGAGGUUUUGACCUUCACACUUCAUGGGCCUCGGUUUUCCGAUGGCCCAUUUUU